rnacentral:rRNA from 1 species
GCGGAUGACGGGAGCUUGCUCCUUGAUUCAGCGGCGGACGGGUGAGUAAUGCCUAGGAAUCUGCCUGGUAGUGGGGGACAACGUUUCGAAAGGAACGCUAAUACCGCAUACGUCCUACGGGAGAAAGCAGGGGACCUUCGGGCCUUGCGCUAUCAGAUGAGCCUAGGUCGGAUUAGCUAGUUGGUGGGGUAAUGGCUCACCAAGGCGACGAUCCGUAACUGGUCUGAGAGGAUGAUCAGUCACACUGGAACUGAGACACGGUCCAGACUCCUACGGGAGGCAGCAGUGGGGAAUAUUGGACAAUGGGCGAAAGCCUGAUCCAGCCAUGCCGCGUGUGUGAAGAAGGUCUUCGGAUUGUAAAGCACUUUAAGUUGGGAGGAAGGGCAGUAAGCUAAUACCUUGCUGUUUUGACGUUACCGACAGAAUAAGCACCGGCUAACUCUGUGCCAGCAGCCGCGGUAAUACAGAGGGUGCAAGCGUUAAUCGGAAUUACUGGGCGUAAAGCGCGCGUAGGUGGUUUGUUAAGUUGGAUGUGAAAGCCCCGGGCUCAACCUGGGAACUGCAUCCAAAACUGGCAAGCUAGAGUACGGUAGAGGGUGGUGGAAUUUCCUGUGUAGCGGUGAAAUGCGUAGAUAUAGGAAGGGAACACCAGUGGCGAAGGCGACCACCUGGACUGAUACUGACACUGA